UGUUGGAAGUAACCAUGAUUACACUUGCAGCAAAUAACACUGGUCCACGCUGUUCCGGCAUGACAUUGGUGAAUAGCCUUGCCGCCAACGUCAGCCCUGUGGAGAAGCAAUGAGUUUGGUGCAUAAUAAGACUCGUAAAUUUAAUACAAACAUAUUGCUGCUGUACUUCGGUUUAAGAUCUUGUUUAGAUGUAUGGCGCGCCGUUGGCGCGCUCUCUUAAGUCGUUCGGUAGCUAUGAGCUAGGGGCAGUUAAGUUUCUAUUAUGUAUGUAUUGUAUUACCGGUGGAUUGGAUAAGGCACAGAUUAGCAGGGUGACCUAGAAGCAACCAAGACUGACCUUGGAAGUUGUAAGGUCAAUACAAUGCAACAGUGACAAGAAAAAUACUAGGCAUGAUGUGAACUUAUUCACAAGCAGAAAUUGUUAACUGAUGAUUGCUGAAAAAAAGAAAAAUACUAGGCAUGAUGUGACCAUGGGCGACCUGGCUGGUACCUUGUAGAACCACCAACGAAGACGCCUUCACCUUCUACCUGCUAGCCUCCAAUGCGGGCGGCAGCCAUCAGACGGCACGGUCGCGGCCCCGACCCCCGGUCGCGGGCGCC
rnacentral:lncRNA from 1 species